rnacentral:SRP_RNA from 1 species
GCUGGGCGUGGUGGCACGCGCCUGUAGUCCCAGCUACUUAGGAGGCCGAGGCAGGAGAAUCACUUGAACCCAGGAGGUGGAGAGGUGGAGGUUGCAGUGAGAUGAGAUUGCGCCACUGCACUCCAGCCUGGGUGACAGAGUGAGACUCUGUCUCAA